UCAUUGAUGACUUUUCAUUUGUUUAGAUUCAGAUUUACUAUGAUUUCUUGGUGCUAUCAUGUUGCAGGUUUGCAAAUAAAAAGUUGGGGUUCCCACAAAAUCUUCUGGGUUCAAGGGCCAGCCACGCCAUGGUAUAAACUAGAGCUCAGAAAUAAUCGGUAUUGGCACAGGAAGUAUGUGCACGUGAACUCUUGAAGUGUUGUAAUCCUCUAUCAAGUAACAAACAACACAAAAGUUGAGCUAUCAUAAUGUGCGCUCAUAAAAUGUCCAGGUUUGAGGCUCACAGGAGAUAUCGAUGAAUUGAGUUGUUGUAUGGAUGGAAGUCACGUUUGAUCCAUUUCCUGAAGGCACAUAGUUUCUCGAAGGUCGAUCCUCGUUGUUUUAUCUUAGGUAUACAUGCAUCAUCUAUUUACAAAACGGUUAUUUGGAAUAUUCGUGGCUUUGACAUCUUAUAGAAAAAUGGUUCAUUUGUUGUAUAACUUCUGCAAGCGCCAGUGGUCUCGGUGGCUGAACCAAUACUCUCACUGUGUGCCCUCGUUUUACUCUUUCCCAACUUAAGAUGCGGAGAUUUCCAGGAGGAUUGCUAAUUUUGUUGACAACGUGCUCACGAUGCCCCGUCGGUCGAGCCAUGGAAGAAGCUAUUGUGGUUGCUGCCUCAACACCGUCUGCAGGGCAAAAUCAAUAUCCGUGCUGCCGCUGGUGAGAUGGAGACGACGAUUUGAAGUCCCAGCAGCAU